AUAUGAGUAGCAGUCUGGUUGUGACACUGUCCCCAUCGAUAGGCAAGUUGAACAGACCCAUCUGACUGGCUAGGUGGGUUUCCCCAUCUAGUGUAUAGUGUUCUCAAAAGCUGCUCCAUUGGCAAUAGAGAUGCCUUUCUUAAAUAACAGAGGAUAAUACUAAAGUCAAGGACAUACAAGCAUCAGUGUUCAACAUUAGAAUGUCCAGGUAAGCUCUCAAAGUCAAUGUUUAGCAGUGAUAGGGCAUUUCCAAGCCACAGUUGUGGCCU
rnacentral:sRNA from 1 species